rnacentral:rRNA from 1 species
GACGAACGCUGGCGGCGUGCUUAACACAUGCAAGUCGAACGAUGAAGCUGGAGCUUGCUCUGGUGGAUUAGUGGCGAACGGGUGAGUAACACGUGAGUAACCUGCCCUGGACUCUGGGAUAAGCGUUGGAAACGACGUCUAAUACCGGAUAGGACCUCGGAUCGCAUGAUCUGGGGUGGAAAGUUUUUCGGUCUGGGAUGGACUCGCGGCGUAUCAGCUUGUUGGUGAGGUAAUGGCUCACCAAGGCGUCGACGGGUAGCCGGCCUGAGAGGGUGACCGGCCACACUGGAAAUGAGACACGGCCCAGACUCCUACGGGAGGCAGCAGUGGGGAAUAUUGCCCAAUGGGCGCAAGCCUGAUGCAGCAACGCCGCGUGCGGGAUGACGGCCUUCGGGUUGUAAACCGCUUUUAGUAAGGAAGAAGGGGCUUCGGCCUUGACGGUACUUGCAGAAAAAGGACCGGCUAACUACGUGCCAGCAGCCGCCGUAAAAC